GUAUGUGGCUGGCACCAUAACCACUGUGCUACGGGCACCAAGCCUACAUGCACAAAUUCUUAUACUCUUUAAGAGGUGGGCUGUGCGCUCAAAGAGGAGGACCUUCCCUGACAGACGAGGACCUUUCUUCAGUCAAGGGUAUACGAGUAAUACUGUGUUCCCCCUGCUACAACCUCCAAAUAAGCUCUCAAGAGCUGGAACCUAAUUAGUAGCUCACAUCUGACUAAAAAAUCAGGAAUGACAGUAGGUGAUUCAGAAGUCACU
ensembl:misc_RNA 7SK 7SK RNA